UCUAUGGGCCUAGUGCAGCAUGAAGGUGGGCCCUGUGGCGUCUUAGCAACCAUACAAGCAUUUGUUCUCAAGUAUUUUCUUUUCUUUCCUGAUGAAUUGGGCAAAGUUGUACCAAACAUACCUCAGAAUUUGGAUUCAGGAAGACUUACUAAAGGUCGAUAUGUUGCAUCAAAUAAUUUUAGUUCUCUAAGUGAAGAUGCAAAAGCAAGAGCCCUGGUCAGAAGUAUGGGUGAAAUAUUGUUUCUAUGUGGAAGUGAUAAGAGGCUUGUGAUUGCUAAUUUGAAUGGUAUUUGCUGUGAUACUGAGGGCUUGGCUAAGGAUGAGACCAUUGCAAAAGCGCUUGAGGAUCUUUCGAUUGAGUCAGCAUCUGAUUUGCAUAAAAUUCUAAGAAUUGAAACAUACACAUCACAAGCAAGUGCGAUGCAGAGGCUGCAAGUGAUGAUUCCCGUCUUCCAAUCUCGUAUGGGGGCACUGCUAUUCCUUAUAUCUGCAUUGCUAUCUAGAGGAUUGGAUUGUGUUCAAGCUGACAGGGAUGAUCCAAGCCUUCCUCUGGUCACUGCACCUUUUGGGCAUGCCUCUCAGGAAAUAGUGAAUCUACUGCUCUGUGGGCAGGCUGUCCCUAAUGUGUUUGAUGGUAGAAUGGAUUUAGGUGGUGGCAUGUGUCUAAAGGGCAUUAUCCACAAGUGUGGAAGUUGGAUUUCUUACUCUAUUGGAAUCCCUCAAUUUCUGCAAGGUUGGUCAACAUCUAAAAUGCCCUAAAUGGCCAAUAUGGGUUGUUGGAAGCGAGUCCCACUAUACAGUUCUAUUUGCUCUUGAUACUACUGUUCAAGAUGAGAAUGAGCUGGAAGA
rnacentral:misc_RNA from 1 species